rnacentral:lncRNA from 1 species
UGUCUCGCUUUUCUUUACAAAACAACCUGCCCAUGCUGCUUCUUGAAACUGUCUUUCUCUUUGUAGAUGAUUGGAUGUAAGGUACGAAAAUGAAACAGCGAAAAUAUCUCGUGGAUGAUUGGAUGUAAGGUACAAAAACGAAACAGCAAAAAUUUCUUACUGAGUGCAACUUCAAAUCUCUUUGUUCAAAAUCCCUGAUCAGAAGCCCAUAAACUGUGUUGUCUUCUGGACGCAGAAUUUUCAUCUAUUCUCAUACAUCAGUGCAGUCCUACAGCUACUUAUUUGUGCCUCCAGGUGUAAUGCACUUACUGAACUCAAUCAUGAAGUCAUCGUCGCUGCUGACCUCAACUGUGUAACAUAGCUUUUGGUAUCUUAAAAGACCUUCUGAUUCUUGUGUGUCAUCUAAAGCAAAAUGUAAAGUAAACUUGUCUUUAUGCUUAAUGUUUUCUCAAUGCUAUUUUCU